rnacentral:misc_RNA from 1 species
UUUUGCUGCGGCAGGGGCUGGAGACUUAGAGCCUGGGCAUUGUACUGAGUGAAGGGUCGAGAAUAGAAGGUAUUCAUCGAUACCUGUGAUUGAAGAGGACCAGGUCCGGCCAUGCCAAAAUGACCCUGUGAAGACUCGUCCUGCAAAGGACCAUUGUAACCGGCUUGUGUGAAAAAUCCUUGUGAGCCAUGUUGAAUGUAAUCCUGA